rnacentral:rRNA from 1 species
UACAGAGACCUCAAGCGUUAUCCGGAAUCAUUGGGCGUAAAGCGUACCUACGGGUUGUCAUACAAGUCAGGUGUGAAAUCUCAAAGCUUAACUUUGAGUCUGUCUUUUGAAACUGUAUGACUAGAGGGGCAAAGAGGAAGCUGGAACGAACGGUGUAGUAGUGAAAUGCGUUGAUAUCGUUCGGAAAACCAAUAGCGUAGGCAGGCUUCGGGGUGCCACCUGAAAAUGCUAGGACGAAAGCGUGGGGAGCGAAUGGG